UCAGCUUCACUGCGGCACAGAGGGGGAAAAUAAAUCUGUAUUUCAAGCUUCGUUUCUUUGGGAUCAAAAUGUUAUUGCUCUUUUUUCCAUUCUUCUUUCUGGUUCUCCUCCCAGGCCUGUCUUCCCAGCUCCAGUUAAAGGAAUCUGGACCAGGAACGGUGAGACCGGGAGACAACCUGGAGCUGACCUGUACGGUCACUGGGGGCUCCAUCACAAGCAGCUACAUUUGGAACUGGAUACGACAAACCCCCGGGAAGGGGCUGGAAUGGAUGGGGUACUGGGUUGGCUCCCCCAGCUAUUCCCCUUCUUUCCAAAACCGAAUCACCAUCUCCGUGGACCCUUCGCAAACCAAGUACUUCCUGCGGCUGACCUCCGUGACGGCUGCCGACACGGCCACGUAUUAUUGUGCGAGAGACACAGAGGAACAGUCUCAAGCACAGCUUGUACAAAAAGGGGAAGUGGGGCAAAGAGCGAGCUCUUAA